rnacentral:rRNA from 1 species
GGUUUUCGGACCUAGAGACCGGCGCACGGGUGCGUAACGCGUAUGCAAUCUACCUUUUACAGAGGGAUAGCCCAGAGAAAUUUGGAUUAAUACCUCAUAGUAUUAUGACUCGGCAUCGAGAUAUAAUUAAAGUCACAACGGUAAAAGAUGAGCAUGCGUCCCAUUAGCUUGUUGGUAAGGUAACGGCUUACCAAGGCAACGAUGGGUAGGGGUCCUGAGAGGGAGAUCCCCCACACUGGUACUGAGACACGGACCAGACUCCUACGGGAGGCAGCAGUGAGGAAUAUUGGUCAAUGGGCGCAAGCCUGAACCAGCCAUGCCGCGUGCAGGAUGACGGUCCUAUGGAUUGUAAACUGCUUUUGUACAGGAAGAAACAGUUCUACGUGUAGAACCUUGACGGUACUGUAAGAAUAAGGAUCGGCUAACUCCGUGCCAGCAGCCGCGGUAAUACGGAGGAUCCAAGCGUUAUCCGGAAUCAUUGGGUUUAAAGGGUCCGUAGGCGGUUUUGUAAGUCAGUGGUGAAAGCCCAUCGCUCAACGGUGGAACGGCCAUUGAUACUGCAAGACUUGAAUUAUUGGGAAGUAACUAGAAUAUGUAGUGUAGCGGUGAAAUGCUUAGAGAUUACAUGGAAUACCAAUUGCGAAGGCAGGUUACUACCAAUAUAUUGACGCUGAUGGACGAAAGCGUGGGGAGCGAACAGGAUUAGAUACCCUGGUAGUCCACGCCGUAAACGAUGGAUACUAGCUGUUCGGAGCAAUCUGAGUGGCUAAGCGAAAGUGAUAAGUAUCCCACCUGGGGAGUACGUUCGCAAGAAUGAAACUCAAAGGAAUUGACGGGGGCCCGCACAAGCGGUGGAGCAUGUGGUUUAAUUCGAUGAUA